AGUGAACGCUGGCGGUAGGCCUAACACAUGCAAGUCGAACGGCAGCACAGUAAUAGCUUGCUCUUACGGGUGGCGAGUGGCGGACGGUUGAUGAAUACAUCGGAAUCUACUUUUUCUUGGGGGAUAACGUAGGGAAACUUACGCUAAUACCGCAUACGACCUACGGGUGAAAUCAUGGGAUCUUCGGACCUUGCGCGAUUGAAUGAGCCGAUGUCGGAUUAGCUAGUUGGCGGGGUAAAGGCCCACCAAGGCGACGAUCCGUAGCUGGUCUGAGAGGAUGAUCAGACACACUGGAACUGAGACACGGUCCAGACUCCUACGGGAGGCAGCAGUGGGGAAUAUUGGACAAUGGGCGCAAGCCUGAUCCAGCCAUACCGCGUGGGUGAAGAAGGCCUUCGGGUUGUAAAGCACUUUUGUUGGGAAAGAAAAGCAGCAGGUUAAUACCCCGCUGUUCUGACGGUACCAAAAGAAUAAGCACCGGCUAACUUCGUG
rnacentral:rRNA from 1 species